AACGAACGCUGGCGGCAGGCCUAACACAUGCAAGUCGAACGCUGUAGCAAUACAGAGUGGCAGACGGGUGAGUAACACGUGGGAACGUGCCCUUCGGUUCGGAAUAACUCAGGGAAACUUGAGCUAAUACCGGAUAAGUGCGAGAGCAGAAAGAUUUAUCGCCGAAGGAUCGGCCCGCGUCCGAUUAGCUAGUUGGUGAGGUAAUGGCGCACCAAGGCGACGAUCGGUAGCUGGUCUGAGAGGAUGAUCAGCCACACUGGGACUGAGACACGGCCCAGACUCCUACGGGAGGCAGCAGUGGGGAAUAUUGGACAAUGGGCGCAAGCCUGAUCCAGCCAUGCCGCGUGAGUGAUGAAGGCCCUAGGGUUGUAAAGCUCUUUCGCCAGGGACGAUAAUGACGGUACCUGGAUAAGAAGCCCCGGCUAACUUCGUGCCAGCCGCCGCGGUAA
rnacentral:rRNA from 1 species